CUUCAUUGACCACUAUCUUGGAGUCUAAGUAGCCCUCCUUGAUAAUGGCCAUCCAAAGGGAAGUCAAUGCUUCAGAGUAUAAUCCUAGCUGAGAAUACAGGGUCUUUUUUUUUAUGAGUCUAUACUUCCCAGAAGAGAGGGUAGAGACUGCAGAUCUGAUCCGCUUGCUAGCACUAAGAGUAUUGACAGGAGGAUCAGACAAAGUGAUCAGUUGGAGAGUGUAACCCAGUUACUGAGAGCUGCUGGUACCAGGACCUUCCCUCCUAGCCCUUCUCUGUUUUCUCCUAGCCAUCCCAGACAAUCUUGCCCAUUGUAGACCAGGUUCGACAGAAGAAGCAGAAGCAGACUGCUCUACCAUCCUAUCACCAUGAGGUAUACUGGCAACCCAGCCUCCUCAACAGGCAAAUUGGAACCACAGUGGGAUGGAGAAGCAGUCCCCUCAAAAGAAAUGUUUUUAUCACUCUCGACAAAUAUUGGAAGAAACAAAAAGGGUCACCACCCGAUUAUCUUCCAAUAUGGAUGGAAGGCUAACUACAACAAGGUUUCACCUGGUGUCUUGAAUGGAUCAUUCAGAACAUUAUAUCUUUUACUACCC
rnacentral:lncRNA from 1 species